rnacentral:rRNA from 1 species
GACGAACGCUGGCGGCGUGCCUAAUACAUGCAAGUCGAGCGCAGGAAGCUGACGGAACUCUUCGGAGAGAAGGCAGUGGAAUGAGCGGCGGACGGGUGAGUAACACGUAAGGAACCUGCCUCAAGGAUUGGGAUAACUCCGAGAAAUCGGAGCUAAUACCGGAUAGUUCAACGGACCGCAUGGUCCGCUGAUGAAAGGCGCUUCGGCGUCACCUUGAGAUGGCCUUGCGGUGCAUUAGCUAGUUGGUGGGGUAACGGCCCACCAAGGCGACGAUGCAUAGCCGACCUGAGAGGGUGAUCGGCCACAAUGGGACUGAGACACGGCCCAGACUCCUACGGGAGGCAGCAGUAGGGAAUCUUCCACAAUGGACGAAAGUCUGAUGGAGCAACGCCGCGUGAGUGAUGAAGGUUUUCGGACCGUAAAACUCUGUUGUAAGGGAAGAACACGUACGAGAGGGAAUGCUCGUACCUUGACGGUACCUUACGAGAAAGCCACGGCUAACUACGUGCCAGCAGCCGCCGUAA